rnacentral:rRNA from 1 species
UACGAAGGGGGCUAGCGUUGCUCGGAAUCACUGGGCGUAAAGCGCACGUAGGCGGCUUUCUAAGUCAGGGGUGAAAUCCUGGAGCUCAACUCCAGAACUGCCUUUGAUACUGGGAAGCUUGAGUCCGGAAGAGGUGAGUGGAACUCCGAGUGUAGAGGUGAAAUUCGUAGAUAUUCGGAAGAACACCAGUGGCGAAGGCGGCUCACUGGUCCGGUACUGACGCUGAGGCACGAAAGCGUGGGGAGCAAACAGG